UUUUUUUUUUUUAUUCUUUAUUUUUGUUGUGCAUUAUGGGUUACAAACAUGCCUGUUAUGCCACGACAGCAGUCACAGGUAUAUCAACGUAAACAUUGUCAUUACAGGUUGAAGCUGCACAUUUUUAUAAGUAAGUAUGCGUACGAAUACAUGCGAUCAAUGUUAAAUGUAUGCGAGUUGUUGAUAGUUAUGCUUAUUAACAGGUGGUUGUUGUUCUAUGCCUGGCACAUUUUAGCAAUCAUUUGACUCAAACAAUUAUUAAAUUUAGGGGAAACCAGCUUAGUUUAGUAGUGUUACUCAUAUAUCAGAAAUACCGUUUUGUUCAUACUUAGAUUACCGGUCGAUGAACUAUAAUAGCUUAAAAGAAAAAGGAAAAUAAACCAGGCUAUGGCAUAUAAAAACAAAGUAAUAGGGUUCUGUCAACGGUAAUUGCAUCAGGCUAGUUUUAACAUGUAACUCGACUGAUAUGUGAUGGAGUCUAUACAUCAAAAUUGCACCUUGCCAGAUGUGGUGCUUCAGUAAUUAAGCAUUUAGUUACAAGCACUUCCCUGGACCCAGAUUAACUAGCUAUGCCUCCCACCUCCCGAGAAAAAGACACAACAGUAUUAGCUAGUUAAGUGCAGAUCCCCAUAUUCCUGACUGGUAGCUAGUAAAAACGACUGAGUUACUAAGAACCCCCUUUAUGUUGGCAGUCUCUUAUAUUUAGA